UACGUAGGGUGCAAGCGUUGUCCGGAAUUAUUGGGCGUAAAGAGCUCGUAGGCGGUCUGUCGCGUCUGCUGUGAAAAUUCAGGGCUCAACCCUGGACCUGCAGUGGGUACGGGCAGACUAGAGUGCGGUAGGGAGAUCGGAAUUCCUGGUGUAGCGGUGAAAUGCGCAGAUAUCAGGAGGAACACCGGUGGCGAAGGCGGAUCUCUGGGCCGUAACUGACGCUGAGGAGCGAAAGCAUGGGGAGCGAACAGG
rnacentral:rRNA from 1 species